ACCUCUGAAAAAAUGAGCUGUGUAGCAAAGACAACUCACUGAGCAAGAAAGAGACGAUCCAGGUCAAAGACCAAGGGCAGAGGUCAUCGAGAUGUCAAGUCUAAUCUACCUACGGAUGUGGCAGCAUUAACUAUGGAUGUUCAAGCCGGACAUUGCUAGCAGAACCACAUCUCUUUACUCAUAGCACGGACUGUAGGAGAAAGCCCAGAGGAGUAAUGAGGACAAAGAAGACAUGACACCUGCAAAAAGUCAGUAGAGUAUUUCUACAUAACAAUCCUUCCAGAUGAGUUAUGGUCAGAAUCUUCCACUGCUCCAGCUCUCGCAAUAAACCUAGAACCUGCCCAGGGUAAGCCAGAAGAUGACGCCCCCCUAGUCCACUCCCCUCCCGGGUCCUGUUUGUGCAGGGUGACUGCCAUCAAGCAGACAAUGGACUCAGGAUGGGGCGUGUGCCUUUAGGGAGGCUGGCAGAGAGGCACAAAGUGGAACACCAGCUAAGUGCACACACCUGAGAGGCAGAGUUCCAGGUGCAGACUCAAAAUGUAUCAAGAAACUGUGUGAAGAAAAAGAAGCUACUCAACCUCUCUGAGCCUCAGUGUCCCCCCCCGUAAAAUGGGGAUCACAGGCCUACUUCACAGAGCCAUUGGGGAAGAUAUAUAAAAGUGCCUGUGACAGCCAGUGUCCACAUUAUUAACAAAGUCGUAUCUGACUUCAGAAUAAUCGAUGAAAAGAAUAAUGUCGAUGAGACCAAAGACAAGA